UACGGCGGUCAUAGCGUGGGGGAAACGCCCGGUCCCAUUCCGAACCCGGAAGCUAAGACCCACAGCGCCGAUGGUACUGCACCCGGG
rnacentral:rRNA from 1 species